GGUCACUGCUAUUGGGAUUCGACUAAGCCAUGCAAGCGGAGGGCGCGGUCGAAAGAUCGUGGCCCCGCACACUGCUCAGUAACACGUAGUCAACCUACCCUUGGGACGGGGACAACCUCGGGAAACUGAGGCUAAUACCCGAUAGGUGAGGGACGCUGGGAUGCCUCCUCGCCCAAAGCUCCGGCGCCCAAGGAUGGGACUGCGGUCUAUCAGGCUGUUGGUGGUGUAACGGACCACCAAACCUACGACGGGUACGGGCGAUGGGAGUCGGAGCCCGGAGAUGGGGACUGAGACAAGGCCCCAGGCCCUACGGGGCGCAGCAGGCGCGAAAACUCCGCAAUGCGCGCAAGCGUGACGGGGGGAUCCCCAAGUGCCGUUGGCUUUCGAUCGACGGUUUUUAGGAAGUCUAAGAAGCUUCCAGAAUAAGGGCUGGGCAAGACUGGUGCCAGCCGCCGCGGUAACACCAGCAGCCCAAGUGGUGGCCACGAUAUUGGGCCUAAAGCGCUCGUAGCCGGAUCAGCAAGUCCCUUGUGAAAUCGGGCCGCCUAACGGUUCGGCGUGCAAGGGAUACUGUUGGUCUUGAGGCCGGGAGAGGUCGGAGGUACUCCUGGGGUAGCGGUGAAAUGCUCUAAUCCUAGGGGGACCACCAGUGGCGAAGGCGUCCGACCAGAACGGACCUGACGGUGAGGGGCGAAGGCUAGGGGAGCGAACGGGAUUAGAUACCCCGGUAGUCCUAGCUGUAAAGCAUGCGGGCCAGGUGUCUAGCGCUCCUUGAGGGCACUAGGUGCCGGAGGGAAGCCGUUAAGCCCGCCGCCUGGGAAGUACGGCCGCAAGGCUGAAACUUAAAGAAAUUGGCGGGGGAGCACCACAAGAGGUGGGACCUGCGGUUCA
rnacentral:rRNA from 1 species